CCUGCUGCUGAAGUCUCCUUGCAUAUGGAACACCCAGGGAGGCCCCAGAAGAGUUGACACUGACAAUGCCCACCCACCUUGAUGGUGGAGAUGAGAUUGUCCACCUCUGUUUGGGGUUCCUGAGCUUUCUGUCUUAGAACCCAUCCCACCAUCUUAUUCUAUUUUGUGAAAUAUCACUAAUUUUGUCUAAAGGAAGAAGCUAUUUGGAAGAAAAUCCAUCACCAAAUGGACAUAUGCCAGCACCACUGAAGGAAAAAUCUCCCAUGAAAUUCACACGGCAGGGCAGAGGCUCUGAGGAACCAAUUAGUUCUUCCAGAAUGAUCCACACUCGCACAGGCCUAGGCCUCACCAGACAGGGAGAGCUCCUACUGAGCUGAACCUACUUGGAGGACCUUGGCUAAGACAUGUCUCUGAUGUCAUCAUGUAGUAGUUCAGGGUGCACCCACAGGGGGUUGGCAGAGGACAGAGUGACUCUGAAGCGGCAAACAGUAACCUCUGCCAUGCCAUAGUAAACCUCUGCCAUGAUCACAGGUGGAAUUAUCUUAAUGCAUGACCUAUGUCAAAAUGUAAUUGUGUGUGAACUUAACACUUAGGUUUUUAUACACCAUGAAG
rnacentral:lncRNA from 1 species